GAUGAACGCUAGCGGCAGGCUUAACACAUGCAAGUCGAGGGGUAGAGGUUGCUUGCAACCUUGAGACCGGCGCACGGGUGCGUAACGCGUAUGCAACCUACCUUUUACAGAGGGAUAGCCCAGAGAAAUUUGGAUUAAUACCUCAUAGUAUAUAACCUUCGCAUGUUGGUUAUAUUAAAGUUUCAACGGUAAAAGAUGGGCAUGCGUCCUAUUAGCUAGAUGGUAAGGUAACGGCUUACCAUGGUAACGAUAGGUAGGGGUCCUGAGAGGGAGAUCCCCCACACUGGUACUGAGACACGGACCAGACCCCUACGGGAGGCAGCAGUGAGGAAUAUUGGACAAUGGGCGCAAGCCUGAUCCAGCCAUGCCGCGUGCAGGAAGAAGCAUCUAUGGUGUGUAAACUGCUUUUGUACAGGAAGAAACACCCCGACGUGUCGGGACUUGACGGUACUGUAAGAAUAAGGAUCGGCUAACUCCGUGCCAGCCGCCGCGGUAAAAC
rnacentral:rRNA from 1 species